GGGGGCGACCCGGUUUCGACGGGUAAGGUGGAGCUCCGGUGGCGCGCCGAGGACCCCGGUUGGCCUCGUUAAACAUCCGGGAAACAACACAAAAGCCAACACAGAGAUGGCUCUCGCGGCUUAAUGCCGUGACGUCCGGCCGCUGACACCUGCUACGCGGUUCGGGCGAAGACAGCAGGCUGGCCCCAAGGGCGCGUGCCCGGCCGGAGGGGCGAGACCCUAACGUGGGCGCUGGUUUCGCAUGUGGCCUGUCCGUUGGCAGCAUGCGGGACGAGAUCCAAAGACGGAACACGCGCGUAGAAGCCGGUGCGACUCUUGCUCGGACGGGGGUUCAAUUCCCCCCGCCUCCAG
rnacentral:tmRNA from 1 species